UGGCUCAGAACGAACGCUGGCGGCAGUCCUAACACAUGCAAGUCGAGCGGCCGUAGCAAUACGGCAGCGGCAGACGGGAGAGUAACACGUGGGAACGCGCCCUUCGGUUCGGGAUAACUCAGGGAAACUUGAGCUAAUACCGGAUACGCCCUUACGGGGAAAGAUUUAUUGCCGAAGGAACGGCCCGCGUCCGAUUAGCUUGUUGGUGAGGUAACGGCUCACCAAGGCGACGAUCGGUAGCUGGUCUGAGAGGAUGACCAGCCUCACUGGGACUGAGACACGGCCCAGACUCCUACGGGAGGCAGCAGUGGG
rnacentral:rRNA from 2 species